rnacentral:rRNA from 1 species
AGUGAACGCUGGCGGUAGGCCUAACACAUGCAAGUCGAACGGCAGCACAGUAAGAGCUUGCUCUUACGGGUGGCGAGUGGCGGACGGGUGAGGAAUACAUCGGAAUCUACUUUUUCGUGGGGGAUAACGUAGGGAAACUUACGCUAAUACCUCAUACUACCUACGGGUUAAAGCAGGGGAUCUUCGGACCUUGCGCGAUUGAAUGAGCCGAUGUCGGAUUAGCUAGUUGGCGGGGUAAAGGCCCACCAAGGCGACGAUCCGUAGCUGGUCUGAGAGGAUGAUCAGCCACACUGGAACUGAGACACGGUCCAGACUCCUACGGGAGGCAGCAGUGGGGAAUAUUGGACAAAGGGCGCAAGCCUGAUCCAGCCAUACCGCGUGGGUGAAGAAGGCCUUCGGGUUGUAAAGCCCUUUUGUUGGGAAAGAAAAGAAGCAGGUUAAUACCCCGAUGUUCUGACGGUACCCAAAGAAUAAGCACCGGCUAACUUCGUG